CGCUGGCGGCGUGCUUAAUACAUGCAAGUCAAACUGAACUUAAGAUAGCAAUAUUUUAAGGGAGGUGGCGCACGGGUGAGUAACACGUAGGUAAUCUGCCUUUAGGUCUGACACAACCCGAGAAAUCGGGGCUAAUAUCAGAUGAUGCAGCGGCUCGACAUCGAGACAGUUGUUAAACCUUCGGGGCCUAAAGAUGAGCCUGCGUCUGAUUAGCUGGUUGGCGGGGUAACGGCCCACCAAGGCAACGAUCAGUAGCUGGUCUGAGAGGAUGAUCAGCCACACUGGAACUGAGACACGGUCCAGACUCCUACGGGAGGCAGCAGUAAGGAAUAUUGCUCAAUGGCCGAAAGGCUGAAGCAGCAACGCCGCGUGGAGGAUGAAAUACUUUUGUAUGUAAACUCCUGUGAGAAGGGAAAAAUAUGCAGAUUUUCUGCGUUGAUUGUACCUUCAGAGGAAGCCCCGGCUAACUACGUG
rnacentral:rRNA from 1 species